rnacentral:misc_RNA from 1 species
GCAUGCACAUGCAUACGCAUAUAAGAGUACCUACCUUCCCGUCUCGCUUGUGCUGCGGCUUCAGCGACGUGCGCGCUCUCGCUGGCGUGCGUGCGUGCAUGUGGUGUACGCCAACACACCUCUUACAUUCGCUCAAGCUUCUCUUCGAUCUUAGUGUGCGUGCGCCUCUGCGUAAAGGAUCUUUUCUCACCUCUCUGUCAAACUGAAGCGCACACACGCAAGCACACAUAUCCGCUCCCCACCACCGGCUGCAGAAGACGAACGAAGAGAUGCUUGGCCGUUCUCGCGCCACUCGCUUCAUCGUUUCGAGCAGCUCCUCGCCGGAGCUGCCACGGUUCCUGACCGAGAGGGAGAAGCCAAUCCUCGCCACCAGCGGCGACCUCUACGCAUUUGUAAUAGAGUAUGACCACCGCAGCACCAUGCCCCGCUUGGGUCGGAGCCCCGUUCACAGCGACUUCUUUUCGCGUUACUUGUUCAGCGGCUCGCCUCUGGCUGGCGUCUUGACCGCCGGCGGCGUCGCUCUCUUUGUGCUCACUUUUGGGUACCACGUCGGCAAACCAGUUGUCGAUGCCCACCGCGAGUUCUUCUGGAAGAGGGCAGAUGCCGCCCACGGCAAGCGCAGCGGUGAAAGCACAGAAGGGGCGGCGGCUGAGGAGAAGGGGGGGGACAGCCUCAGCCCAGUGGAAGAGUUCGACGACCUCAUCGAGGUGAAGGGAGAGGAGGGGUAGUCCCCUUCGCAUACAAAAACGGAGACUUUUGAGAGCCACUCGCACAGCUCACUCGACAUAGAAUGACGUCGACGACAGACCUCUUCCUUUGUGUGUGCGUGUGUGCCUCUAUGUCGACACAAGCAUGUUCUCGUCUGUUUUUCUUUUGCGUCUGUGGCUAUUCUGUUGGUUUUGGGUGAUGCAUGAUGAUAAUGGUGUCUGUGUUGUCGUUGCGACCGCUGUUGCGUGGCUGCACGCUUUCUGCUCUUUGUGUGCUCUCUCCUGUUGUUUAGUCUCCCUACUCAGCGAUGGCGGAUUGAAAACGUUUCCCGAUCUCUUUCACUACUUAAUGCCCUCCCCCCCCCCCCCCACACACACGAAGAAAAACGACCCCCAGCCUUCUAUGCAUCACUCCUCAUCAGCCUGAGCACGCACACGUACACACACACACACACACACAUGCGCGCCGGUGCAUGUCAGGAGCGUGCCUCGGAGCGCGAGAGGUGCCGCAGCAGUCGUUUUCCGGCUGACUUUUUCUUCCCCUCCAAUAUGUCGUUUUCGUGUGUGUAUGUGUAGUAGCAUCUCCCGACGAUCGUAGAAUUCGGGUGUGACGGCGUGCGACGCAUGCGCACGCGGCGACGUCAAAGAGCACGCAGAUCAUUACGUGGCGCGACCACCUGUGAUGGAACCUCUCUCACCAACCCUUGUUGUGCUCUCCCUUCAUCUCUCGUAUCAACCGCAG